rnacentral:tRNA from 4 species
UGCCCUAUGGUGUAGCGGUAGCACACCGGCCUUUGAAGCCGUCAGCCCUGGUUCGAAUCCAGGUAGGGCAGCCA